AAGACCUCGUCAGUGGUGUUGUCGUCUGUCCAUGACCUGAAAAGUUAUGUAUUGUCCAUAUUGUGGACUUGAAUUGGCUGGAUAUAUUGGAUGCUUUUGUGGUUCCUGUGGUAGCAACAUUAGAUUUCUGGCACCUUUUCUACAGAAUGGCCCAGAAACAGUGUCAGCUGAACUCACAGAGGCAGACCUUAUCCAUAAAUAUUUCUCAGAGGGCCACACAUAUGAAGUGAUC